AGGGUUUGAUCAUGGCUCAGAACGUACGCUGGCGGCACGCCUAACACAUGCAAGUCGAACGAAGUAGCAAUACUUAGUGGCAAACGGGUGAGUAACAUGUGGGUAUCUGCCCUUUGGCCUGGAAUAACACGAGGAAACUUGUGCUAAUACCGGAUAAGUCUUUUAAGAGAAAGCUUUAUGCACCAAUGGAUGAGCCCGCACCUGAUUAGUUAGUUGGUGGGGUAAUGGCUUACCAAGACAAUGAUCAGUAGCUGAUUUGAGAGGAUGAUCAGCCACAUUGGGACUGAGACACGGCCCAAACUCCUACGGGAGGCAGCAGUGGGGAAUCUUGCACAAUGGGGGAAACCCUGAUGCAGCGAUGCCGCGUGAGUGAAGAAGGCCCUUGGGUUGUAAAGCUCUUUCGUCGGGGAAGAAAAUGACUGUACCCGAAUAAGAAGGUCCGGCUAACUUCGUGCCAGCAGCCGCGGUAAUACGAAGGGACCUAGCGUAGUUCGGAAUUACUGGGCUUAAAGAGUUCGUAGGUGGUUAAAAUAGUUGGUGGUGAAAUCCCAGAGCUUAACUCUGGAACUGCCAUCAAAACUUUUUAGCUAGAGUAUGAUAGAGGAAAGUAGAAUUUCUAGUGUAGAGGUGAAAUUCGUAGAUAUUAGAAAGAAUACCAAUUGCGAAGGCAGCUUUCUGGAUCAUUACUGACA
rnacentral:rRNA from 1 species